AACGUAGAUCACAUUAUUUCUGUUACGAGGUAAAUAUUUGAUUCUUCAGAAGUCAUUCUUAAAAGCCAAUUUCACGCAUUUCCAGACCUUUUAAUUAUUCAGUCUCUAAAACCAAGAUGGGAAUAUUGUCUGUGUUCAAAGAAUGUGACCGGGCACGUGUAAGUGUAAUGUAUUUUUAAUUCCAAUAAUGUUAACUUCGUAUUCUAUUAUGUUUUCGAAGAAAACAUGCUGGCUUUACGUUGCUUGUGUUACAUUAUUUUACACUCACCUGCAGCAGGACGAUAAAAAUCCAACCGUAUACUUCCAAAUGAAUCAACGAAGCCACAAAUUCAAAGUACUAAUACCAAAAAACUACAUAAAUAAGGCGAGUUUUUAUAUUUCCUUUGCCAUUACACCAGCUUUCGUCGCUCCUCACUGAUAUCCCAUCAACCACCGCGACUCGCCUACAGUCACGUGUUUGUGGGGGUUACGGUGGCGGCUACGGGACAAACAUAGCAGCGAAGAAGCGAGAAUCAAAUACCCUGCGGUCUCCCACCCCGAGACCUCUGACAUGAGCAUGGUAUACAGUUUCAGUUUUAUUAUCUGAAUAACAGCAUCGAAAAUGCAGGAUCGAAGACCAACAUUUUUUAUAUUCAUGUUGCGCAGACCAGUGCAAGCCCUGGACCUACACUGACACCUAGCAGCGUAGAUGCAAAAGUUCAUGCAGGAGUUUCCUGUUACAGAUUCCAUUGUAGAAAUGCGCUCUUUACAGUCAGCUGUUAUUAAUUUAUCCCACAAGUAAAUAACAGGAAUCUUACCAAUAUGAACUAAUCAUAUUCGUCUAGUCAUGUGAUGUCAUUGCAUGAUGUCAGCCCCCAUGAGGCGACCCGCUGUUUUCUUUAAAAAAAGAAACCACGAACAAUCAGCAUGGAUUUUAUCAGCAUUUUUAUCCAGGCUUCAUAAUUUUAUUUUGUUGUCUUACUUUACCGAACAGAAUGAUAGUGGGUUUUGCCAAAACCAGAAAAAAACGUGGCUGUCUCCCCUUUCUUGGCCAGGGGUAAGCAUGUUCGGUCCUGCAGUUUAGCUCCAACCCUAAUCAAACACAGGCUAUAAUUAGGUGAUUUUUUUUCUUUCAAGGGCUGAAGCUAAACUCUGCAGGACAGCGUCUCUAGGACCGAACUUGGCUACCCCUGCUCUAGGCUCUGAUUGCUGCAGUAAUGUUAUGACAAUCAGUGCAGUGCAGAGAUUUAAAUAAUAAUAAUAAUAAUAAUUUUGUUGACUAAACUGAAUGAAUGUGUCUGCAAAAUAAAACCUAAACGCAAGAGUACAUUUGAUAUGGCAUUAAAAAAAUGGAAAUGCAAAACUAUAAUAAUAUUACUGACUUCCCAGCACUUUUAAUCCAUCAGUAAGGAGGACAGACACACAAACUGAGGUUUUUACUAGCUUUAAUAUUCCUGAAACGUCCGUGUUGAAGAAACCAAAAAGUACAAAAGUGUCUGACAGUAAAAAUACGAGAAUGCAUGGUGGGGUGGGGAGACGUAAGAGAGCCCUCACUCACUAAAACAGCAGUGUCUCAUACAGGCCUGCGAAAUUCAUUUCUGGAUUAUCACUAAUACAAAGCCAAACAAAACAGAGAAAUCAGUUAAUAUACAAAACCACACACUUGACCAGGCAGUAAGACAUGCAGUGAUGCAGUCUUUCCAUGAGUGUGAGAGAGAGCGAGAGAGAGAGAGAAAGAAAGAUGAAUUUAGCAUCUAUAAAAACCGUUCAGCAUAUCUGACACGUUCAAUUCAUAACAUUUCCAUACAUAUUUGUUGGCAGCUCUUCUGCUUCCUUUCAGUCUAUUUUCAGAAGUUCUGAAAUGUUUUGCAUAUGAGAUCUGAGGCUGGGUUCAGCCAGGGCUCCUGUAAUGGCUCUAUACAGUUAUUCCCGUUUUGUAAAUACAUGUGAUUACUAAAACCGCUGAGAAUAGCCAAAGGAAAUAAAACAAUUAUAAUAAUAAUAAUAAUUUGACAUUUUUGCAUAUGUGACAUCGUCAGAAUAAUAAAACACAACACAGAGAAUCUGUGAGCAAU
rnacentral:lncRNA from 12 species